rnacentral:rRNA from 1 species
UCUAUUUGAAGUUAUAAAAAGUCUAACCUGCUCCUGAUAUUAGUAUUAAAGGGCCGCAGUAUUAUGACUGUGCAAAGGUAGCAUAAUCACUAGGUUUUUAAAUGAGAUCUUGUAUGAAUGGUUGAACAAAGGAAAAUCUGUCUUUAUAUUAAAAUUUGAAUUUUACUUUUAAGUGAAAAGGCUUAAAUGUUUUAGAGGGACGAUAAGACCCUAUAAAGCUUUACAUUAUAAUUAUAUUUAGUUUAAUUUAAGUAAUAAAAAUUUAAUAUAAAUUUUGUUGUGUUGGGGAGACAUAAGUAGAAAUAAUAGUAUCUGCUUUUUAAAUAAUCAUUAGUUUAUGAUAAAUAAUAGUAGUUGAUCCUAAUUUAUAGAUUUUAAGUUUAAGUUACUUUAGGGAUAACAGUAUAAUUUAUUUUGAGAGUCCAUAUUGAAAAAUGAAAUUAUAACCUCGAUGUUGAAUUAAAAUAUCUUUAUAAUGUAGUCAUUAUAAAUGAAGGUCUGUUCGACCUUUAAAUU